AGUGAAGCAUCUGUGUGGUUUCCUGGAGAGUCCAGGAUGUGGACUUGAAACUCUGAGGUGACGCGUGGAGAGGACCAGCCCCUGGAGACUGCAGAGGCCAGAGUCCAUUGCCUUUUUUGGAAGAAGAUGCCAAAAAGAGGAACCUCUGUGUUGCACUUUAUGCUUAAAAUACAUGAAUGUUCUGUACAUGCAAAUUAUGUGCUUGUAAACGCAAGAAGGGGCGUCAUAAUACCCUGAUGCUAUAAAAGCAGUCUGAAGUAUAAUUUUGGUGAAGACCCUUGCUGACAUGUGCAGUGACUGUCUUCCCGCGCGAAUACUUCAAUAAAGAUCGCUUUAACCCAAA